GAGUUUUAUCGUGGCUCAGAUUGAACGCUGGCGGCAUGCCUUACACAUGCAAGUCGAACGGCAGCACGGGAGCUUGCUCCUGGUGGCGAGUGGCGAACGGGUGAGUAAUGCAUCGGAACGUAUCCUGGAGUGGGGGAUAACGUAGCGAAAGUUACGCUAAUACCGCAUAUUCUGUGAGCAGGAAAGCGGGGGACCUUCGGGCCUCGCGCUCUUGGAGCGGCCGAUGUCGGAUUAGCUAGUUGGUGAGGUAAAGGCUCACCAAGGCGACGAUCCGUAGCAGGUCUGAGAGGAUGAUCUGCCACACUGGAACUGAGACACGGUCCAGACUCCUACGGGAGGCAGCAGUGGGGAAUUUUGGACAAUGGGGCAACCCUGAUCCAGCCAUGCCGCGUGAGUGAAGAAGGCCUCGGUUGUAA
rnacentral:rRNA from 1 species